rnacentral:rRNA from 1 species
AUGAACGCUGGCGGCGUGGAUAAGGCAUGCAAGUCGGACGAUUUCCUUUUUGAAGAAGAUGCGAUUACAUCAAGUCAACUGAUAUUUUGGAGAUAGUGGCGAACGAGCUAGUAACACCUUGGUACGUACCCAAAAGUUUGGUAUAGCUCGCCGAAAGGCGGGGUAAUCCCAAAUAAUCCCUCUAUCUAUCGGAUAGAAGGGUAAAGUCGCAAGACGCUUUUGGAGCGGCCUAGGACCGAUCAGUUAGUUGGUGAGGUAAUGGCUCACCAAGACGAUGACCGGUAGGGG